GACGAACGCUGGCGGCGUGCUUAACACAUGCAAGUCGAACGGAAAGGCCCUGCUUUUGUGGGGUGCUCGAGUGGCGAACGGGUGAGUAACACGUGAGUAACCUGCCCUUGACUUUGGGAUAACUUCAGGAAACUGGGGCUAAUAACGGAUAGGAGCUCCUGCUGCAUGGUGGGGGUUGGAAAGUUUCGGCGGUUGGGGAUGGACUCGCGGCUUAUCAGCUUGUUGGUGGGGUAGUGGCUUACCAAGGCUUUGACGGGUAGCCGGCCUGAGAGGGUGACCGGCCACAUUGGGACUGAGAUACGGCCCAGACUCCUACGGGAGGCAGCAGUGGGGAAUAUUGCACAAUGGGCGGAAGCCUGAUGCAGCAACGCCGCGUGCGGGAUGACGGCCUUCGGGUUGUAAACCGCUUUCGCCUGUGACGAAGCGUGAGUGACGGUAAUGGGUAAAGAAGCACCGGCUAACUACGU
rnacentral:rRNA from 1 species